rnacentral:ncRNA from 1 species
GGUAGUAGCAAAUACUCAAAUGAGAACUUUGAUGACUGAAGUGGGGAAAGGUUCCAUGUGAACAGCAGUUGGACAUGUGUUAGUCGAGCCUAAGGCAUAGGGAAUUUCCGUUUUAAAGGCGCCCUCGUGCGUCAUUUGCCGAAAGGGAAGCCAGUUAACAUUCCGGCACCUAGAUGUGGAUGUUUUGGGUGGCCGGCAAGGCGGUCACCCACUAUUAGAUAGACCAGCUAGUUCCGUCCUUUGUCUCUCUUCCUCUCCUCUCUGUCCAUCAUCAGCACAACAGAAUCUACUCUUGUC